rnacentral:tRNA from 1 species
GCCCCGAUAGCCCAACCGGUAGAGGCGAUGUUCUCAAACAGCAUUCAGUGUGGGUUCGAAUCCCACUCGGGGCA